rnacentral:misc_RNA from 1 species
CAAUUAAAUGGGGAAUUUAAUUAUAUACAGGUCAAAGUCAAACACUGCAACUCACGACGGCGUGUCCUCUCUAGUCCUACGUACGUCUGACUGUGCUAGAAUGUUUCUUAAUGAACGCCUUAUAACUUGAUUGCCACGUCCCACUCGACUCAUGCCACCGAGUUACAACCCAUUUUAUCCUGAGUCUGCUGAAUCUCAUCUCUUCCUCUCUCCAGGUCUGACUCGCUCACUGACCCACCCCAACUCGUUGGGUUUCCUGCACAAGGAGACAGAUUUCCUCUUCUUUCUCUGCUCAGUAUCCUCGUAAAAGACAACAUACGACUCAUUGGCGAUCUAUAAGCUGGUGAAUCGGUUCCCGACUCGUUCUCGAAAUUCCCAUUUCUUCUGGGUACUUCUAUCGUCACGCCAACCAGCUCCGCUGGUUUUCUUCGACCCAUAAAGGAUGAAGUAGAUGCACCCACGUUUUCUUCCUCGUGCUGACAAGUGGAACACAAACCGGAACUGGAACCGAUUUCAAUAAUCUCCGACGAUGAAUCUACCUGGGCAGGCUUUUCGGGUACGGGUUCAACAGGGGAGCGGCAAAGAGGGCAAGUGGAGUGAGAAUGGAACCACAUGUC